rnacentral:rRNA from 1 species
CUGGCUCAGAUUGAACGCUGGCGGCAUGCCUUACACAUGCAAGUCGAACGGCAGCACGGGUGCUUGCACCUGGUGGCGAGUGGCGAACGGGUGAGUAAUACAUCGGAACAUGUCCUGUAGUGGGGGAUAGCCCGGCGAAAGCCGGAUUAAUACCGCAUACGAUCUACGGAUGAAAGCGGGGGACCUUCGGGCCUCGCGCUAUAGGGUUGGCCGAUGGCUGAUUAGCUAGUUGGUGGGGUAAAGGCCCACCAAGGCGACGAUCAGUAGCUGGUCUGAGAGGACGACCAGCCACACUGGGACUGAGACACGGCCCAGACUCCUACGGGAGGCAGCAGUGGGGAAUUUUGGACAAUGGGCGAAAGCCUGAUCCAGCAAUGCCGCGUGUGUGAAGAAGGCCUUCGGGUUGUAAAGCACUUUUGUCCGGAAAGAAAUCCUGAGGGCUAAUAUCCUUCGGGGAUGACGGUACCGGAAGAAUAAGCACCGGCUAACUACGUGCCAGCAGCCGCGGUAAUACGUAGGGUGCGAGCGUUAAUCGGAAUUACUGGGCGUAAAGCGUGCGCAGGCGGUUUGUUAAGACCGAUGUGAAAUCCCCGGGCUCAACCUGGGAACUGCAUUGGUGACUGGCAAGCUAGAGUAUGGCAGAGGGGGGUAGAAUUCCACGUGUAGCAGUGAAAUGCGUAGAGAUGUGGAGGAAUACCGAUGGCGAAGGCAGCCCCCUGGGCCAAUACUGACGCUCAUGCACGAAAGCGUGGGGAGCAAACAGGAUUAGAUACCCUG